rnacentral:rRNA from 1 species
AUUGAACGCUGGCGGCAUGCCUUACACAUGCAAGUCGAACGGCAGCGGGGACUUCGGUCCGCCGGCGAGUGGCGAACGGGUGAGUAAUGUAUCGGAACGUACCAUUCAGUGGGGGAUAACUAUCCGAAAGGAUAGCUAAUACCGCAUAUUCUGUGAGCAGGAAAGCAGGGGAUCGCAAGACCUUGCGCUGAUUGAGCGGCCGAUAUCAGAUUAGCUAGUUGGUGAGGUAACGGCUCACCAAGGCUACGAUCUGUAGCGGGUCUGAGAGGAUGAUGCGCCACACUGGAACUGAGACACGGUCCAGACUCCUACGGGAGGCAGCAGUGGGGAAUUUUGGACAAUGGGGGCAACCCUGAUCCAGCCAUGCCGCGUGAGUGAAGAAGGCCUUCGGGUUGUAAAGCUCUUUCGGUCGGGAAGAAAUCGCACGGGCUAAUACCCUGUGUGGAUGACGGUACCGGAAUAAGAAGCACCGGCUAACUACGUGCCAGCAGCCGCCGUAAGAC